AUGUGAUUGUAUAAAACAUUUUAAUUUGAUUUUAAAUAAGUGUGAUUACGUAUAUUACUACCAUACCCCUCUCUAUAUGUAUGUAUGUCUUUAUCUUUUUGAGUUAUUUUAGGGUUAGGUUCACACUCACAUAGACACAUCGCCUCUCUCUGCUCUGCUCACACGACUGCUGCUCUCUCAUAGCCGACGUCGCUCCUUCCUCACUGACGUCUCCCUUCUCCCUCACCAGCGUCUUCCUUCUCCCUCUCUCAAACCGCUGUACGAAGACGAACCAAAGUUCAUUAUGAUUUUCGCCCCCCAAUUGACUCUUUCUCUGGAUGAAUGGGAGAGCAAAAUUGAGGGAGCAGGUGGACAUGUUCAUAAUAAGAUCAAGAAAGACACACACUGCUUAGUUGUGAGUGGAGUGCUGGAUAAUAAAGAGGCUGACAUGAGGAAGGAAAGGUAAAGCUGUGCCUAAUUGCUGGCCUUUAAGUGUAGUUAUUUAUUAGUCAUUUUGUUGACUUGUAGUGGUUUCAUUGGAACAAGAGGAUGA